rnacentral:lncRNA from 1 species
AUUUCAGGUCGGAACUUGCGCAUUCGGGCCGGACCUCAAGCCAUGGGCCUCUGCGAAGGCGCCGGCGUGCCCACGGCUAAGAAACUUCCUCUUUCUGCUCCCGGGAACGAAGGCUGUAGCAGAGAAGGCCUUCAAGUUUCGAGACCCAGUUCCAGCCGCAGCUGAGCACUGGUGACCUUGAAUUAAGUCUAAUGUUGGGAUUGGAAGACGCUUCAGACAUCCGCUGCCGCCCUGGGCAAGCGACCAGCUCAAGGUUACCCCACAGGGACGUGCUCUGGUCCCACGGUCCAGUGCUCUUUUGUCGGUUAGUUUUGUCAUUUGUAAAAUAGGAACAGUAGAUAGUGGUAGGAAAGUGGUUGUGAAAACUUAAUAGAAAGCUAAGCGCCUUGGUCGGGCGCAGUGGCAUGUCACCCCUGCAAUUCUAUCACUUUGGGAGGCUGAGGCGGGCGGAUCGUUUGAGCCCAGGAAUUCGAAACCAGUCUGGGCAAUAUGAAACCCCAUCUCUGCAAAUAAAGUACAAAAAAUUAAGAGUGGUGGCGCGCUUCUGUGGUCCCAGCUAC